rnacentral:rRNA from 1 species
UACGUAGGGGGCGAGCGUUGUCCGGAUUUAUUGGGCGUAAAGAGCUCGUAGGCGGUUCGGCAAGUCGACGGUGAAAUCUCCGGGCUUAACUCGGAAAGGUCAGCCGAUACUGCGGGGCUAGAGUGCAGAAGGGGCAACUGAAAUUCUCGGUGUAGCGGUGAAAUGCGUAGAUAUCGAGAGGAACACCUGCGGCGAAGGCAGCUUGCUGGGACGGUACUGACGCUGAGGCGCGAAAGCGUGGGGAGCAAACAGG